AUGGUAUCAACAAUCCUUUGUUUCUCCUCUGAAUCAGACUGUGACAUCGGUAACGAACCAAUCCAUCCCAAAGGUAGUAAAGAUGCGGCGAAUUGUAUGAGAAUUCCAACUAUCAAGCCUGACUUGCGUGCUAAGAAAAGCAAGGAAGAGAAAAAGGAAGAAACUUUCCAUCUGGGUCAUGAGAUUUGUUAUGCAUGGGUCUCAACACUUGUGUGGUGGCUUGUUGAGUUUCUGAGCUUUGGAUUAAGGUGUUUGGUGUUAAUGUGA